AAAAUGGCUCCUUCAGGAGCCACCCAAAUGAUUUAAAAGGUCAUC
rfam:Nematostella vectensis strain CH2 x CH6 NEMVEscaffold_64_Cont9389, whole genome shotgun sequence.